rnacentral:rRNA from 1 species
UACGGAGGGUGCAAGCGUUAUCCGGAUUCACUGGGUUUAAAGGGUGCGUAGGCGGACAGGUAAGUCAGUGGUGAAAUCUCCGAGCUUAACUCGGAAACUGCCUUUGAUACUCUCUGUCUUGAAUAUGGUGGAGGUAAGCGGAAUAUGUCAUGUAGCGGUGAAAUGCUUAGAGAUGACAUAGAACACCUAUUGCGAAGGCAGCUUACUACGCCUAUAUUGACGCUGAGGCACGAAAACGUGGGGAUCAAACAGG